CUUGCAUCAUGAUUUACAUUUGAGUGAGUGGCGAACUGGUGAGUAACACGUGGGAAACCUGCCCAGAAGCGGGGGAUAACACCUGGAAACAGAUGCUAAUACCGCAUAACAACUUGGACCGCAUGGUCCGAGUUUGAAAGAUGGCUUCGGCUAUCACUUUUGGAUGGUCCCGCGGCGUAUUAGCUAGAUGGUGGGGUAACGGCUCACCAUGGCAAUGAUACGUAGCCGACCUGAGAGGGUAAUCGGCCACAUUGGGACUGAGACACGGCCCAAACUCCUACGGGAGGCAGCAGUAGGGAAUCUUCCACAAUGGACGAAAGUCUGAUGGAGCAACGCCGCGUGAGUGAAGAAGGGUUUCGGCUCGUAAAACUCUGUUGUUAAAGAAGAACAUAUCUGAGAGUAACUGUUCAGGUAUUGACGGUAUUUAACCAGAAAGCCACGGCUAACUACGUGCCAGCAGCCGCGGUAAUACGUAGGUGGCAAGCGUUGUCCGGAUUUAUUGGGCGUAAAGCGAGCGCAGGCGGUUUUUUAAGUCUGAUGUGAAAGCCUUCGGCUCAACCGAAGAAGUGCAUCGGAAACUGGGAAACUUGAGUGCAGAAGAGGACAGUGGAACUCCAUGUGUAGCGGUGAAAUGCGUAGAUAUAUGGAAGAACACCAGUGGCGAAGGCGGCUGUCUGGUCUGUAACUGACGCUGAGGCUCGAAAGUAUGGGUAGCAAACAGGAUUAGAUACCCUGGUAGUCCAUACCGUAAACGAUGAAUGCUAAGUGUUGGAGGGUUUCCGCCCUUCAGUGCUGCAGCUAACGCAUUAAGCAUUCCGCCUGGGGAGUACGGCCGCAAGGCUGAAACUCAAAGGAAUUGACGGGGGCCCGCACAAGCGGUGGAGCAUGUGGUUUAAUUCGAAGCUACGCGAAGAACCUUACCAGGUCUUGACAUACUAUGCAAAUCUAAGAGAUUAGACGUUCCCUUCGGGGACAUGGAUACAGGUGGUGCAUGGUUGUCGUCAGCUCGUGUCGUGAGAUGUUGGGUUAAGUCCCGCAACGAGCGCAACCCUUAUUAUCAGUUGCCAGCAUUAAGUUGGGCACUCUGGUGAGACUGCCGGUGACAAACCGGAGGAAGGUGGGGAUGACGUCAAAUCAUCAUGCCCCUUAUGACCUGGGCUACACACGUGCUACAAUGGAUGGUACAACGAGUUGCGAACUCGCGAGAGUAAGCUAAUCUCUUAAAGCCAUUCUCAGUUCGGAUUGUAGGCUGCAACUCGCCUACAUGAAGUCGGAAUCGCUAGUAAUCGCGGAUCAGCAUGCCGCGGUGAAUACGUUCCCGGGCCUUGUACACA
rnacentral:rRNA from 2 species